UGAGUCACCUCUGGUGCAGCUUUGCCUUU
rnacentral:piRNA from 1 species